GAUGAACGCUGGCGGCGUGCCUAAUACAUGCAAGUCGAGCGAACAGGCGAGGAGCUUGCUCCUCUGACGUUAGCGGCGGACGGGUGAGUAACACGUGGAUAACCUACCUAUAAGACUGGGAUAACUUCGGGAAACCGGAGCUAAUACCGGAUAAUAUAUUGAACCGCAUGGUUCAAUAGUGAAAGACGGUUUUGCUGUCACUUAUAGAUGGAUCCGCGCCGCAUUAGCUAGUUGGUAAGGUAACGGCUUACCAAGGCAACGAUGCGUAGCCGACCUGAGAGGGUGAUCGGCCACACUGGAAGUGAGACACGGUCCAGACUCCUACGGGAGGCAGCAGUAGGGAAUCGUCCGCAAUGGGCGAAAGCUUGACGGAGCAACGCCGCGUGAGUGAUGAAGGUCUUCGGAUCGUAAAACUCUGUUAUUAGGGAAGAACAAAUGUGUAAGUAACUAUGCACGUCUUGACGGUACCUAAUCAGAAAGCCACGGCUAACUACGUG
rnacentral:rRNA from 1 species